UUUUUUUUUUUUUUUUUGAGAUGGAGUCUUGCUCUGUCGCCCAGGCUGGAGUGCAGUGGCGCGGUCUCUGCUCACUGCAAGCUCCGCCUCCUGGGUUCAUGCCAUUCUCCUGCCUCAGCCUCCCGAGUAGCUGGGACCACAGGCGCCCGCCACCACGCCCAGAUAAUUUUUUGUAUCUUUAGUAGAGACGGGGUUUCACCGUGUUAGCCAGGAUGGUCUCGAUCUCCUGACCUCGUAAUCCACCUGCCUCGGCCUCCCAAAGUGCUGGAAUUACAGGUGUGAGCCACUGUGCCCGGCUUAUACUGAGAGUUUUAAAAUUAUUAUUUCUUAGAUUUUUUAAAAUUUAUGUAGGUUUUUACCAUAUUUUUUCAUAGUAUGUCAGAGUAUAAAUGUACUGUAAUUUUUUGAGACAUUCAGCCGGACAUAUUUAGGUUGUUACUGGUAUUUUUGCUGUAGCCAUUAAUAAUGCAGUAAAUAGUUUGGUGUAGAGGCACAUGCCUGUGGUCCCAGCAACUUGUCAGGCUAAGGCCAGAGGAUCACUUGAGCCCAGGAGUUCAAGGCUACGGUGAGCUACAACCAUACUACUGCACUCUAGCCUGGGCAACAGAGUGAGAUCCCGUUUCUAAAAAAUAAAAAAAAAGUGCAGUGAAUGUUUUUCUUCAUACAUAUAUAUGUGUGUGAGAGAAAUUCUGGACAAGUAAACACCAUUCUUUUGCCCUUAGGAUUCAAUGCUGUCUUCUACAGCCUCCAGGCCUGGGAUCCUGAAAGGACCUUGGGUGGUAAAACUGGCCUUGGCUGGAUUGAGGGUUUGGGGAAGAAACAUGCAAAUAGCCUCAGAUGUUUUUUAAAUGCAGCAAGUAACAUUUCUGGAUGAGACUUAUUUCCAAAAUAAACCAGCUAUAUCUGUUUUGAAAAAAUAUGUACACAUAUAUGCCUGUUAAAUCAUCAAGAUCAGAUGCCUUUUUGGGGUUUAACUUCUUUAUAUUUUCUGUUUUUAAAAGUAAUUCUUUUUUUUUUUUAAGAGAUAGGGUCUUGCUCUAUUGCCCAGGCUGGAGUGCAGUGGCGUGAUCUCAGCUCACUCCAACCUCCACCUCCCGGGUUCAAGCGAUUCUCAUGCCUCAGCCUCCCUAGUAGCUGGGAUUACAGGCAUGCACCACCACACCCGGCUAAUUUUUGUACUUUUAGUAGAGACAGGGUUUUAACCAUGUUGUCCAGGCUGGUCUUGAACUCCUAGCUUCAAGUGAUCCACCUGUUUUGGCCUCCCAAAGUGCUGAGAUUACAGACGUGAGCCACCGUGCCUCGCCCAAAAGUAAUUCAUAUUUGAAGCAAGUAUAUAUAGUUAAAAAAGGAGAUAAUGUAUAUUUAUAAUAAAUAUUUUAUGUAUAUCUGUUAGACUGCUUUUUUUUUUCUUUUGUUUCUUUUUCUUUUUUGGGGGGUGGCCAGCACGGCGGGGACAUGGUCUCACUUUGUCUCACAGGCCAGAGUGCAGUGGCAUGAUCAUAGUUCACUGCAGCCUCGAACUCUUGGGCUCAAGUGAGCCUCCUGCCUCAGCCUCCCAAGUAGCGAGGACUACAGGUGUGUACCACCAUGCCUGGCUAAUUUCUUUUUUAUAUUUUAUAGAGAUGGGGUGUCUUACUAUGUUGCCCAGGCUGGUCUCAAACUCCAAGGCUACUUUUUCACUUAAAAUAUUUUUUAAUAUCUUUCCAAUCUUUUAAUUUGUUUAUCCCACAAAUACUUCAUUCCAAAUGCACAUGUAGGAAGACUGUCAUAUUUGGCUAUUUAUUGAGCUCACUUACUAGUUUUAAUAGGUUUCCUCUGGUUUUCCAGGCAAUUCUGUUAUCUACAAGUAGUGAUGACUUUGACUGUUUUUCCAUACUUUUUGCUAACUUAAUUCUUUUCCUGGUUUUAUUAUGUUAGUUAGACUUUUCAAAGUAAAGUUGAAUAAUAAUGAACUCUUACUCCUCAUCUUCUGGAUUUUAAAGGGAGUAUCUCACUUUACAGUUAAGUAUAGUCAGCCGAAAUUCCUUAUAUGUGGGUUCCACAUCCAUGAAUUUAACCAACUGCAGAUCAAAAGUAUUCUUUA
rnacentral:lncRNA from 10 species